rnacentral:tRNA from 1 species
UGCCUCGUAGCUUAGCUGACGGAGUGUGCUCUUUAUAAAAGUGUAGGUCCCGUCCUUGCGUGGGUUCGAAUCCAACCGAGGCUA